rnacentral:rRNA from 1 species
AGUGAACGCUGGCGGUAGGCCUAACACAUGCAAGUCGAACGGCAGCACAGGAGAGCUUGCUCUCUGGGUGGCGAGUGGCGGACGGGUGAGGAAUACAUCGGAAUCUACUCUGUCGUGGGGGAUAACGUAGGGAAACUUACGCUAAUACCGCAUACGACCUACGGGUGAAAGCAGGGGACCUUCGGGCCUUGCGCGAUUGAAUGAGCCGAUGUCGGAUUAGCUAGUUGGCGGGGUAAAGGCCCACCAAGGCGACGAUCCGUAGCUGGUCUGAGAGGAUGAGCAGCCACAAUGGAACUGAGACACGGGCCAGACUCCUACGGGAGGCAGCAGUGGGGAAUAUUGGACAAUGGGCGCAAGCCUGAUCCAGCCAUACCGCGUGGGUGAAGAAGGCCUUCGGGUUGUAAAGCCCUUUUGUUGGGAAAGAAAUCCAGCUGGCUAAUACCCGGUUGGGAUGACGGUACCCAAAGAAUAAGCACCGGCUAACUUCGUGCCAGCCGCCGCCGUAA